rnacentral:misc_RNA from 1 species
UUCCUAAUUUUCCGUUACGGCAAAAAUAAACUUAAACUGCGAUAAUAUCCAUCGAGACAACGAUCUACAGUGAGAUCCGUUAUAACGAGACAUACGCGUACCGAGCGAAAAUUCAAAGUCGAUUUUCUCGAAAACAAAGCCUCAAACGAAAAAUUUUUAUUCUAUAUUUUCGACUUCUUUUUUCGCGUAGAAUCACCCCCUUUCCGCUUGUACCACCAGUUACCAACCACCUUGUAUAUUACAUUUUAUUUUGAAAAUCGAUUAAACGUCGUUAAAUCGUCGUUUUAUUUCUAUCAACUAUCUAACAGAUAUAUUAUAAUUUACGUUUCUAAUGAUUUCGAUAAAUUUUCAGAAAUUCUGAUGUUCGCAAUUUAUCGAU